rnacentral:rRNA from 1 species
UGGGGAGUAUUCCGCAAUGGACGAAAGUCUGACGGAGCAACGCCGCGUGAGUGAUGAAGGUUUUCGGACUGUAAAGCUCUGUUGUUUAGGACGAAAGUGCCUGUUGCGAACAGUUACAGGUAUUGACGGUACUAAACGAGGAAGCCACGGCUAACUACGUGCCAGCAGCCGCGGUAAUACGUAGGUGGCAAGCGUUGUCCGGAAUUAUUGGGCGUAAAGAGCAUGUAGGCGGAGAGUUAAGUCUGUUGUGAAAAUGCGGGGCUCAACCCCGUAUUGCGAUGGAAACUGAAUUUCUUGAGUGCAGGAGAGGAAGGGGGAAUUCCCAGUGUAGCGGUGAAAUGCGUAGAUAUUGUGAGGAACACCAGUGGCGAAGGCGCCUUUCUGGACUGUGUCUGACGCUGAGAUGCGAAAGCCAGGGUAGCGAACGG